AGUUGCUUAUAAUAAGUUACAGUCAAACUCUUAUUUUUAUCAUUGAUACUGGAUCGGUUUUUUUCUAGAUUGUUGUUUAACAACGAAAAUAAUGUAACAGUAUCUCUACAAUUUAUUUUCAGUGAACUCAAUAGAAUUUGAUAGAAUGUUUUUUUUUCACUCAUGAACACAAUACAAUAAUUUUCACCAGUUUAGCUUUAUCAUAAAAUGAGCACCAUGGCCUUAAAAACAAUAAUUUGCAUAGAGCUUUCAAAGAGAAAUAUAGAUAAGCACAAGUGUGGUUUUUAUAAGCAAAAUGAUGGGCGUGAGCGUGGGAGUGUACAUUUAAAUAUCGUUUGCUGAUAAAUUAUUCAGAGUCAGCACAGGAUCCUUACCACUUCCUGUAGGUGGUGGAAGACGGCGAAUGGGGGUGGGCGCACUUCGGCAUCAGAUCCGCUAGGAGUUCGGGUCUUCUCUACGCUCUACGAUAUGCAACGCAGAGGCUUCAACUUCCUGGUUCAAGUGACAGACAGAAAAAUUAGGGACCCGGAGGCUGGGUCGACCCACACCAUUUGGACUCUGCCUGGGUCAAAGUUCGCCUUUGUGACUUGGAUGAUAACCCACCAAAGUUCAUCCGCCAACACGUCCUCGUCACAGUCGGGGAGGACACCAAACCAGGGACGGUUUUAGCUGCUCUGCCUGCCCACGAUCCUGAUGCGGCCAACCAUCCAAAGGCAGGAGGAAGCCAGCAACCAAGAUGAUGGACAAGGGGACGUGGGAGAGUAGAUCUUAUAUAAGGUAGCAAAGGGGUGGCACCUAUACCAUUUUAAUUGAGGUCAGGUCACUGUCAAGGCAGCUCUAGGUGACCAGGACUCUGUCUAUUGCCCCCUCACCUUUCACACCACCAACUGUUUCACUUUGUGGUGUUGAUACAUAUCCCACCAAAAUCCCACAACUUUAAAACCUGACUCUACAUUCAAGACUCCGAUCGUCCAGAGGACAAAGAAUACGAGACCAUGGAUGUUGUGUGCAUCAUCAGUGUUCCCACAGUGCCAAGGUUGGAAGAUUGAAGAGCUGUUAUCUAUUAUUCUGUGUUCAAUGCUGCUUGCAUUAAUCCUUUCAUUCAAUCAGUUCUUUCCCAUAGAGGUCUUAACAUUCCCUGGUUUUGCAUAGUGGCACUAAUUGAUUUGUGAAUUAACGUGAACUCAGUGGCACAGAGUUAGUGCUUUAGUUCCUGCCUAUAUAUCAUCUGAUUCAUGUAAUAACAACUUAAAUUGCAGUUCCC